AGAGUUUGAUCCUGGCUCAGGACGAACGCUGGCGGCGCGCCUAACACAUGCAAGUCGAACGAGAGAGAGGGAGCUUGCUUCCUCAAUCGAGUGGCGAACGGGUGAGUAACGCGUGAGGAACCUGCCUCAAAGAGGGGGACAACAGUUGGAAACGACUGCUAAUACCGCAUAAGCCCACAGGUCGGCAUCGACCAGAGGGAAAAGGAGCAAUCCGCUUUGAGAUGGCCUCGCGUCCGAUUAGCUAGUUGGUGAGGUAAUGGCCCACCAAGGCGACGAUCGGUAGCCGGACUGAGAGGUUGAACGGCCACAUUGGGACUGAGACACGGCCCAGACUCCUACGGGAGGCAGCAGUGGGGAAUAUUGCACAAUGGGGGAAACCCUGAUGCAGCGACGCCGCGUGGAGGAAGAAGGUCUUCGGAUUGUAAACUCCUGUUGUUGAGGAAGAUAAUGACGGUACUCAACAAGGAAGUGACGGCUAACUACGUGCCAGCAGCCGCGGUAAAACGUAGGUCACAAGCGUUGUCCGGAAUUACUGGGUGUAAAGGGAGCGCAGGCGGGAAGACAAGUUGGAAGUGAAAUCUAUGGGCUCAACCCAUAAACUGCUUUCAAAACUGUUUUUCUUGAGUAGUGCGAGGGGUAGGCGGAAUUCCCUAGUGUAGCGGUGGAAUGCGUAGAUAUUUGGGAGGAACACCAGUGGCGAAGGCGGCCUACUGGGCACCAACUGACGCUGAGGCUCGAAAGUGUGGGGAGCAAACAGGAUUAGAUACCCUGGUAGUCCACACCGUAAACGAUGAUUACUAGGUGUCGGAGGAUUGACCCCUUCAGUGCCGCAGUUAACACAAUAAGUAAUCCGCGUGGGGAGUCCGGCCGCAAGGUUGAAACUCAAAGGAAUUGACGGGGGCCCGCACAAGCAGUGGAGUAUGUGGUUUAAUUAGACGCAACGCGAAGACCCUUACCAAGUCUUGUCAUCCUGCGACGAUGUUGGACACAGUAUUUUCCUUCGGGACGCAGAGACAGGUGGUGCAUGGUUGUCGUCAGCUCGUGUCGUGAGAUGUUGGGUUAAGUCCCGCAACGAGCGCAACCCUUACUGUCAGUUACUACGCAAGAGGCCUCUGGCAGGACUGCCGUUGACAAAACGGAGGAAGGUGGGGAUGACGUCAAAUCAUCAUGCCCCUUAUGACUUGGGCUACACACGUACUACAAUGGCGUUAAACAAAGAGAAGCAGGACCGCGAGGUGGAGCAAAACUCAGAAACAACGUCCCAGUUCGGACUGCAGGCUGCAACUCGCCUGCACGAAGUCGGAAUUGCUAGUAAUCGUGGAUCAGCAUGCCACGGUGAAUACGUUACCGGGCCUUGCACUCACCGCCCGUCA
rnacentral:rRNA from 1 species